ACCGGGUUAGCUCAGUCGGUAGAGCGCCAGCCUUUUAAGCUGGUGGUCGUGGGUUCGAGCCCCUCAUCUGGUG